UAAGCAGUGAACUGGCGACGGAAGUUACCCACACCCAUAAAUUGGUCCAGAUUGCGCCUUAAUGACCGGACCAUGAAGCCAUAAGCUAGAGGCCAAAUUGUCAAUCCUUGCACCUUUUAAACCAUUGGAGUUAUUGUUGGUUAUAAGACCUUGACAACUUGGAAAUAUUACCAUUACCACACCUAUCAGACAAAAAAUAUACAAGCUAAUCAACCGGGUUUUCCAAAAUAAACAUUAUACUUUUAAUAAAAAAACGGAAAACAAAUAUGAAUUUGUGAAAACACAAAAAAAAAAAAAUCAAAGUAAAAAAAGAGUUCAAAACCAGCUGAUAGAAUAUGGUAACAACUAAGUUCUAUUUUCUUAAAAAGAACUCCUAAUAUUAUAAAGGCCAGUUGUAUCAUUCAUGUCCAAUGGAAAACAUACAAUUACUUGAGCUGGAAAAAAAUAACUAUAAAUUCUUUUCAUUAGCCAAGUAAAUUAGCUUUCUUUUUCAUAUAUGGACAGAAGUAUAUGCAACAUUGCUACCAAAUAGUAUUCUUGAACCAUUAUGGAUUAAAAAACAAUAAAAACAUAUGUGGAUGUUUCAGUUAAUGAACUCAAUUUUAAUAAAGAGAAGAUAAUCUUUCAUAGUAGAUUUGCCAAAGCAUGUGUGGAUGUUAAGAAGGUCUAUAAAUCAAACCCCAAAUCCUAAAUCUUCCUAAUUUCAUAUUACUUCAAAACCCAAAAUCAACAAAUUUGCCAGGAAAAUAAAGAUUUUGGUUACAUUUAGGUCUGAUUCAUGGUGAGAAUGAUAGAUCGAAUCAUAAAACUUAAAAUGUCAACGAUUAAAGACGUUUUGGGCUUGAAUAGUAGUGAGGGAGACAGACUGAGUCAUAGAUUUUCAAUAAUAUGCUUAGAUUAUUACAAUAGACAAAGCAACAAAAACCAGUAGGGGUAAACACAAUACCUUAACAUUCUCUGUGUCAGAUAAUAUAUCAAAAAGAGACUAAUAGAGUGAACCAAAGGAGAAUCAAACAAUUAUUUUUAAUCAGCUGAUAAAUAUACAUCUGAUCUAGAAAAGAAAGUUAUAGCAUUAUUAAGAGAUGCACAGAAGAAAAGAAAGUAAACACAAUUAUUUUUAAUCAGCUGAUAAAUAUGUAUAUGAUCUAGAAUAGAAAGUUAUACAUCUGAUCUAGAAAACAAUUAUACUCCUAAUACAAAGAAUGAAUAUAAAUUUGUAUUCCAUGUAUUAAGAAUAAUAAAAGUACCUGUUUCUAGAAAAGAAAGUUAUGGAUUGAUGAUUAAAAUUGAAGACCUUAGUUUAAGAGUUCUAAAAUGGCAUAUAUAUGCUAUUAAGUCGUUGUGAUCAUGUUUUCUUGGAUAUAUAUCUAAAGUUUAUCCCAUUCAUGAAUAGGAAAAUAUAUGUAUACAACAAAGAACCUUCGUGUUAACUUAACACAUUGUAAAAUUAUAGCAUUAUUAAGAGAUGCACAGAAGAAAAAGUGAAAAAAAAAAUAAUGAACUUACCACUCAACCUAAGGAUAUCAUAAGCAAAAUCCUUAUGUGCAUGUAAUCCAUCAACAAGUGACUGCAAAAGAAAAAAAAACCACUCCCAAUCAAAUACAAAUUAAGAAACCAAUAUUUUUCUAAUAUUACCCUCCAACACCAUAUUAUGCAAAACCUUGACAUUCCUUAAGACGAACUUUUGUAACAUCAUGUUAUUGUGCUCUAGCUAUGCUACUACUCCUAGAGAAGCUUCAUGUUCUGGAAUUGAACUUAUUAUGAGCUAAACACUAUAUGAUAAGAAGUAUUUAUAAAAAAACAAUUGAAGGGCAACAUGGUCAUUUCUUAUGAAAUAUGGAACAAAAUCAUUGA
rnacentral:lncRNA from 1 species